rfam:Nitrospirae bacterium RIFCSPHIGHO2_02_FTLL_42_12 rifcsphigho2_02_scaffold_17362, whole genome shotgun sequence.
GGCCGGGACCUGCGCAACAUGGGCUUACAAACCCCGCCAGGUCCGGAAGGAAGCAGCGGUAAGUAAUCCCCCGUGUGUGCCGUAGAUUCACCUUGUCCUGU